GACGAAGGUGGCUAGCGUUGUUCGGAAUCACUGGGCUUAAAGAGCACGUAGGCGGCCUGUUAAGUGCCUUGUGAAAUCCCCCGGCUCAACCGGGGAACUGCUUGGCAUACUGGCAGGAUUGAGGCAAGUAUGGGUGCAUGGAACUCUUGGUGGAGCGGUGAAAUGCGUAGAUAUCAAGAGGAACGCCGGCGGUGAAGACGAUGCACUGGGCUUGUCCUGACGCUGAGGUGCGAAAGCCAGGGGAGCGAAC
rnacentral:rRNA from 1 species